UUUCCGUAGGUGAACCUGCGGAAGGAUCAUUACAGUGUUCCCUGCCCUUCGGGGUAGGAUCGCCACCCUUGAUUAUUUAUGAGUGUUGCUUUGGCGGGCCUCGCGGCCUGGCCGCGCCCGGGCUUCGGCGGGGGAGCGCCCGCCAGAGGAUUCUACAAACCUGAUUAUUAGUGUCGUCUGAGUACUAUAUAAUAGUUAAAACCUUCAACAACGGAUCUCUUGGUUCUG
rnacentral:misc_RNA from 1 species